rnacentral:pre_miRNA from 1 species
CAUGUACUCCCUCCGUCCGGAAAUACUUGUCAUUGAAAUGGAUGUAUCUAGAUGUAUUUUAGUUGUAGAUACAUUCAUUUUCAUCCAUUUUGAUGACAAGUAUUUCCGGACGGAGGGAGUAAUAU